rnacentral:tRNA from 1 species
GAGAGUAUAGCUCUGUGGUAGAGCACAUGCUUAGCAUGCACGAGGUCCUGGGUUCCAUCCCCAGCACCUCCA